GCGCUUCUGAACACUUCCCAGAAGGCUUCUACUCUUGAGUGCACCUGCAGCUGGGAACCCUAAGGAAAAUAAAGAGGGCCUUUGCAGAGACUCAGAAUUUAACAAAGGAGAACUGAAGGAUGGGCCAGGAUCUGAUGGAACAGAGUGGUGAUAGAAGGCCUAGGGCCCACAAGGCGGAAGCCCACAGCUUGUGAGAGACAGCCCCCAGGUGGCAGAUUUCCCCACCAGUACAGUACUUGGCAGCUGUGGAAGGGGGACAGCAGAGGACAAUGGCAACCCCUCUCCUCACAGAGGAGGACAUCUUUGCUGCAGUUGGCAUAGGCCUGAGGCACCCCCUUUGGAGAUGGGGCUAAGAUUCUCUACUUCACGUCUGGGUAGGGGGGCCAGAGCCGAGAGGUAUAAAUGGAUGCAAACAACUCAGCCCAGUCCUCCAGACCUUGGUAAUGGUGCGUAUGUCACCGCAGUGCCCAUGAUAGCGGCUGUGUGGCCUGAUAGCCCUCGUUAGGCCAGGGUUUGUUCUUGCAGUGCCGGGUCUCAGCUCUUGUCCUCCUCAAUCUCACAAUUAUAGCUGGCAGGGUUGUUUUUGUUUUGUUUUUUAUUUUUUAGUGCAGUACUGAAGACUGAACCCAGGGCUCCUGUGUGCUGGGUAACCUGUCUGAAAGAAGCAUUUUUCAAGAUUGUGGAUGGGGUUAUGUAAGUGUAAGAGACAACAGGCACUUGCCAGUGUGUCAGGACACUCACUGAGGAUCCUCAUAGAUGCUUCUAGAAAUCAGCCAGUACCACAGGACAUUUGUCAGGUGAUGUGUAUCCCAUUCCCAGGGUCCAGAGGACAGGGCUGAGUGCUCAUUUAUUUGUAAGCCUCAUGAGGAAGGCCUUCCAAAGACACCCUGUCAUAGUCUCGUUCACAGCUGCAAAAUCUGAAAUUGACCUAGAUGUCCAUGAGGAAGGGAUUAAAUGAAUUAUGGUACAGUCAUACAAUUGAAUAUUAUACAGCCAUGAAAAGUAACACUGACGAUGAGAAAAGCUCAUUUAUGAGUGAAAAAAGCAGUUAUAAAAUUGUUUGUAUAAAAAGAAUUAGAUACAUGUUACCAUACUUUAUAAAGUUUUAUAUAUGAGAAGGAUGUUCACUGAAUUGUUAACUAUGGCUGCUUCUACCAAUGGAAUUUUGCAUUACUUUAAAUUUCUUACAUUCUCUUACGUUGCUUAAAAUUUCUGUGUAUUACCUUUAUAACCAGAGAAAUA
rnacentral:lncRNA from 1 species